UUGUACGACUUAAUGAAUGGCCUUGUAAUUUAAAAAAAUACUUAGAUACUUGCGCUUACUUAUUUUUUGUUGUACCAAGUAGUACGUAAUAUUUUUCCGAGUCACAACAAAUCAGCAUAAAUUUGUCGUUGUCAUGAAGUUUGCAUUUGUUUGAAUCAUAUAAAGGUGUUCGUCGAAAAGUUUCUUUAACAUUCAAGUGCGGCCUUUCAAUACUGUGAAUGAAUAUUUGUUUAAUUUUGAACAGUUUUUGUUUUAAUAGUAAAGUAAAAAAUCUAUGUGUUUCGCAGCUUUACAUUUAUAAAAUCUUUUUCGCGAGAAUGGGUUUACUUACCGAGGGAAGUCCAUUGACUUGGGAAGAAACCAAAGCUCUAGCAGAACAUGUCCGGCAACACGGCGUAGAACAAUUUAUAAAUUUGUAUAAAAAACUAAGGGACCGAACCGGUGAUGUGCUUAAAUGGGGUGAUGAAGUUGAAUACAUUGUAGUGAAAUUUGAUGAUGAAAAUAAAAGAGCUACAGUCAGCCUAAGAGCUGCUGAGUUACUUCCUGAACUACAAAAGAAAGAACUUGAAGAUCCUGAAAAUGCCAAGUCUCUUUGGCGUCCAGAAUAUGGAGCAUAUAUGAUAGAAGGAACUCCAGGGAAACCAUAUGGAGGACUUCUAGCUCAUUUCAAUAUAGUUGAAGCGAAUAUGAAGUUUCGCAGAGCUGAAGCAAGUACUUUAUUGAAAGACGGAGAAGUUAUUAUGAGUAUUACAAACUUUCCAAGGUUAGGCUGUCCGGGGUUCACAAGUCCACCAUACACACCGACACCAAACAGUGGAGUAUCUUUGUCUCGGUUCUUCCCCGAUGAAGCAAUAUUUCCUGGGCAUCCUCGUUUUAAGACAUUGACAUCAAACAUAAGGGAGAGACGAGGCGAAAAGAUGGAAAUUAAUUUACCCAUAUACCGCGAUGUAAAUACCAAGAUACCUGUAGAUAAUUACCACGAGCUUGAUAAGGGAUUUGCGAAGCCUGAUUGCGUCUACAUGGACGCGAUGGGUAUGGGUAUGGGAUGCUGUUGCCUUCAGUUGACGUUUCAGGCGUGUUGUAUUACUGAAGCGAGGACGUUAUAUGAUCAGCUGGCACCACUGUGUCCUAUAAUGUUGGCCUUAUCAGCGGCCUCGCCAGUCUACCGCGGAUUCCUGACAGAUGUCGAUUGUCGUUGGAACGUGAUUUCUGGUUCAGUAGACUGUCGCACGCGUGAAGAGCGUGGCCUCGAACCGUUGAAGAAUAACCAAUUUCGCAUUCAGAAGUCAAGAUAUGAUUCCAUUGACUCAUAUCUAUCGGCCGAACAUGAAAAAUACAAUGAUAUACAAAUAGUUCACGACCCGAAGAUUUACCGUCGUCUCCGUGAGGGUGGAAUUGAUCAUCCGCUAGCAUUGCACGUGGCGCAUCUCUUCAUACGAGAUUCAGUUUCAUUAUUCAGCGAAAAGGUUCACCAGGAUGAUGAGAAUGACACAGAUCACUUUGAGAACAUCCAAUCAACCAAUUGGCAGACCAUGCGCUUUAAGCCACCCCCACCGAACUCCCGUAUCGGAUGGAGAGUGGAGUUCCGUCCAUGCGAAGCUCAGCUGACAGAUUUUGAAAAUGCUGCUUAUGUCUGUUUUGUUGUACUGUUGACCAGGGUCAUACUGUCGUAUAGACUUAACUUCGUGAUGCCUAUAAGUAAGGUGGAUGAGAACAUGCAACGCGCGCAAAGACGUGGUGCGUGUACGCAACAGAAGUUUUGGUUCCGUCGGGACGUACGCUCGCCCGACGUGGACGCGUACGCUGAGAUGACAAUCGAUGAGAUUGUUAAUGGAAAGGAUGGCGUAUUCCCUGGUCUGAUUCCGUUAAUCGAAUCGUACCUCUCUGGUAUGGAUGUGGACGCGGAUACACAUUGUUCAGUACAGCAAUACCUGAAGCUCAUACAACGGAGGGCGUCUGGUGAAAUUUCAACUAUGGCCACCUGGAUCAGACAGUUUGUCACUUCACACCCGGAAUACAAAAAAGACUCGGUGGUGACGGAGAGAAUAAAUUAUGACCUUUUGAAAACUGCGCACGGAAUUCAAACUGGAGCAAUUCCGGCGCCAACAUUACUUGGAGGGAGCAAUGUUUCCAAAACCAAUGACGACAUUCCUACAGCAUUCAAAGAAUGUCCUUAGAUACUCAGAUUUAGGAGCUGCCUUAGAGCGCUCAUAAAGUAAUUGUGUGGAUGUUCUCACGCGCAGUGUUUUCAGAUUAGACAAAAAUUUUAGUAAAAUAAUAUAUUUUUUAAUAACUAGGAAUAUUUUAUUUUUAUCAAUUCUGAGGGUAGAAAGAAGUACCCUCUCAUUUUAUACAAAAAGUUUGAAGUUUAUUUUUAAUACUUAUUUAUUUUCUAUUAUAACUACGUAUUUAUUUAUUAUUUAAUUAAAAUUAAAAGAGAAUUUGAUAUUUAUUGAUUACUGUAUUUUUAGUAUAAAAACACUAAUUUUGCUGGUAUUAUUAUCCGAUCUGGAAGCACUGUUACCAGUGCCUUCUCUUGAAUUUAUUUUUGUUUCAAAAACCUUUGUCUAUACUUUUUAUACCCUUGUCAAUUGUCCAUGUCAUAUUGAAUUAUGUUUAAAUGUUUGUCUAUUUCAAUUAAAUUGUUCUAUUUGUUUUUUUUUAUUAAUAAAAUUUUGUGUCUUUAAAUUUAUAAAGUAAGCUUUAGUUGCAACGCCUAUUACAGUUUUACUUCCAGUUUUUGUUUCAUAACUUUGCUAUAGGCAGUACUUAUUUUGAUUAACACUUAAUUCAUCUAAUUCAGUCGUCUUCGGGGAGGUUUUUGUUAAUCUUUGAAGCAAAACACGAUUACAUAAGCUACAGUGAGUUUGACAAAUUAAACGUGAUAGUCUGUGCAAAAACAGAAAAAAAACGUAAUAUCUAAAAUGUAGAAAGAAAAAUACGCUUGUAUAAAAAAUAGGCGUUAUGUGGGCGUUUUUGGUACUACCAGAAGUCGGCAUUGUACGAAACUAAUACGUAGUAGAAAUUAUCGUAAAGCAAAACUUAGUUUUUAUACAAAUAUUUGACGUAACACUUUGUCAAACUCAUUACAGACAGAGUAUAAAUAGUAGUUAGUUAAUAUAAUUUGUAAUGAAUUUAAAUAAUACAUUUUUAUUUAAUGCAUUUUUUUAUUAAUUCUUGAGAAAUAUUUAUAAAUUGGUUGCGCGGUUGUAAGCAAUUAAAUGAAUUUUAUGAUGGACGUAAUAUUAUUUUUAUGAGUUUAAUCUUAAAUUAGUUGUUGCCAUAGUUAAAAUUUAUUUAAAUGAUUGGAUAUGAUACAUUCGUUUCAUACCAUCAACAUAAUAAUGUUUUCCAGCGUGGAUUUCAUGGAGAAAUUAUUUUUUGUAUUUUAAUUUAAUGUAUACAAGAUUUCUGCCUACGCCGGUAUUGAAGAAUAUUUUAUCGCUAGCCCGUAAUGGUAUGAGACGGCAUGAUGAAGACUCCUAUAAUCGUAAAGCUAUAUUUAGGUUCUGAGAAAUUUAUUUACUUAACAGCGAUCAUCAGAGUCGCGCAUUAAUUAUUUAAAGUGGAAUUAUUUACUUUGAAUAUGAUUUAAAAGAAGUUAUGCAAAAAAAAUUGGUUCUAUUUUAUUGUUUAAUAUUUAAGUUCGUUAUACUUAAUGGACGACUCUGAGUACGUGUAAGACUGUGAUAAAUGUUAUCUUUAUGUCAACUGUUUGUCACAUACUGAUGUAAUUCUUACGAAAAACCUUAACGCAACAUCUAAUCUAAACUUAUGUAUUUUUUUUUAAAUUCAAUUAUUUUUGAAAGCGUUCCAAUUAAUCAUAUACUACAGAAUAUCGCAAUAACUUUGAUCAAAGUGAAGAUGUUAUAAUAUUCAUUAGAAGAUGGAUCUUUUCUAUGAAGUUUGUCAGCAAAGAGUUUCCAUUAUUAUUUAUUACUAUAGAUAAAUAGUGGCAGUGCUACCAUUAGAAAUAAAUUCAAGGCUGGAACUUGCUAAUAAGAAGCACAUAAUCUAUAGUACACACGUUACAUCGACCUCAAUUCAACAUUUUGAGAUUAGAUAAACACAUGACUGGAUUUGAACAACUUUUAUUGUUAUUAACAUUUUUCCUUAAUAUUAAAUAAUACACAGGUGUUCCUAAGAGUCGCUUCAUAUGCCUUGUAAAAAAUUGUUUGAAUUUGUUAAUAUUCUGUGAUGCUAACAAGGUGUCAAGAAUCUCCAAAAUUGCGUGACGUAAUACUUGAACAGUCCCUUAGCUCUUACUAUUUUCAAUUGGCCAUAGUACCGUCAGGCGAUUUUAUUAAUUAAUUAUAAUUUAAUUUUUAUACGUUUAUUUUUCAAUUUAUAUAGAUUUUACUAAAUUUGAAAUUUUGUUUUGUAUUUUACUAGGAUUCAUAUUUGUAAAGGUUGCGUUAAGGCUUCGUUAACGAGCUUCUUGUACACAUGCAGCAUUUAGAUCCAUUCACGAUUCACACUACUGGAUAUAUACUCAUCAUUAUACCAGCCGAAAUGUUGUUUGGUGUCACUUAAAACAUUAUAUACUUUUAUAUAGAUCUAAUUGCAUCGUGUAAAGUAGUUUCUCUUAAUCACACUAUGUGAGAAAGAGACGGAAGAGUGCUUUGGUUGGACUGCAAUUAGACGAAUUUAUAAUGGUUUUACUACAAAAUAUUGUUAAUGCUGUUACCAUUUAACGAUGUAAACGUUUAUUAGAAAUAAAACUAUAUU